rnacentral:lncRNA from 1 species
UUCAGUUAAAAAUCGCGAUGCUGCUCUACAUCGAGUUAAUUAUGUUCUCGUAAGUGAUAAUUUUUAGUAAUUGAAAUUCAAGAAUCUUUCAGAAUGGCGUUGGCUGAUUUUUUUCAUGCUUUUAAACUAACAUUUAGGUUUAUAGGCCCUAUUUAAGAUACAUUUUGGAACAAUAUUUAUACACAUUCUAUCCGCACCGCACAUAAAUCUAAGCUUUAUCAGAGAAAAGGAGAUAGGUUUUUUUUUUUUAUCGAAGGAAACUGUGCAGCCUUAUCAAAUAGCCUAUUUAAUUGUGUGAGGGCAUUUUGAGCAAUUCGUUGACAGCAGAAGAUAGCUAAUUCCUUAUUUUUUCAGCUCAAGAAAAAUUUACGACUCAUCGAAUUAUAGACUUCGUUUAGAUUUAAACAAACCGUAAGAGCUGUGGCAUUACAGUACCCAUAACUGGAGGCACGAAAAGUGGAAGGUUGGCAUGUGUGGAGUUACACGAAGUUUUGUAAGUACUAAAUCGACACAAAUCACUGUCCCUGUUGGCCGAAGACGUAAUGAGGAUUUCUACAUGCGAAUCAUCACGUCGGUUCAUACCAUCACGAUUUUAGUCGAAGAUAAAGUUGUGUGGCCCCCUCCACGAACUGUAUUUCUCUGUCGAUUCAUAAAUCUAAUGCUUGAUUCAAUUAUUUCUUCGCAGUAAUCGAUGUCACGAAAAACCAACAAAUGCUUUUUAGUCGUUGUGUGAGGUCCAUUCCGUUUCCGAAAACUUAUAGAAUCCAAACGUCUCAAUGUCUCGAUUAUCAUAAGUCAUAGCAUUAAUAUAUAAUUUAUUUCUUCCAGAAUGGAUUUGUAUUGGGGGAAAAAUUGCGAUUUUUCUAAUCUUCCUUUCUAAUCUCUUUUCCAUCUGCACAACAGAUGAUAAAAAAGAUUGUGCUAGGUCAUCUAUAUUAUAAUUCU